rnacentral:piRNA from 1 species
UAUGGUGUGUCACAGUAAACACCCAGGGC